GAGGGGCAGUAGUUACACUCACAGGAGCACAGGAACAGAGCGGGAGGGAGAGACAGAAAAAGAGAGCCAGGGACAACAACGUCACAUUAGAAAGUAACCAAGACUUCACCUGCUCCUGAAGAAGUGACCUAUGCUGAUAUCAACAUCAGACAGAAGAAGAAGAGGCGAGACAACCAUUCUCUUGGUCCAGAUACAGUCUACUCUGCUGUGAGGACACACACUGCUGGCCCUUCUGAGGUCACUUAUGGCCAAGUUCAAAUCAGAUCUCAGAGACCUGCGGGCAGAAAUACUGAGUACCCAGCUGAUCCAGAUGUCGUGUACUCAUCAGUGAGAGCAGGAAAAUGAAGAUAAACAGCUGGAGGAGCUUCACGUCUUUCCAACCUGAAUCUUUUAUUUUGAGUGAUAUGCUGUUUGCUCUGCUUUGUUUUACCACCUUGCUCGUCUCCUUUAUAGUGUAACUUCUUCCUUUCGGCACAAGUUUAGAUCUAUGAGUACUUGAACAGUGAGCCACAGAGCAUUUUAAAGAGUGCAUAUCUUGAGAAUCCACUUCUAUUUUUUUAUGAGAGUUUUAUAAACUCUGAGGUGUAAAAUUUUUAAAUCUGAAGCUCCCCUGGCAAC
ensembl:lncRNA